GGGUAAGUUUGAUAUUAACGCAGACAGUGGAUGACUUGGUAUACGUUGCCGAAGAAGGACGCGCAUGGCAGCGAUAUUCGUCGGGUAGGAGCCACGAUCCUGUGAUCCGGCGGUGUCCGAAUGGAGAAAUCCGGCCGAGUUCAUACUCGGUCACUCCAUGGUGAAAUCUCCGAUUUUUAUCGGGGUAUAGCUAUGGAAGGGGGAACUCGGGGAACUGAAACAUCUAAGUACCCGAAGGAAGAGAAAUUAACAAAGAUUCCGUCAGUAGCGGAGAGCGAAAUCGGAAAAGCCCAAACCCUGUCCGUAGGACAGGAAUGAUAACAAUAAAUACCAAUAAGUACCAAUAAAUACAAAUAUCCAAUGAAUUUGAUCGUAAUUAUUCAUUUGUUUUUAUUGGAAAUUUAAAAUUGGUAAUUAUUUGAAAUUUGUCAUUCCCGACCUGCGGUCGGGGGGUUGUAGGACCUCGAUGUGGGAUUCCAUCCUUUUAGUGGAAUGAUCUGGAAUGGUCGAUCAAAGAGAGUGAAAAUCUCGUACACGAAAGAAGGGCGGAACCCUAGAGGUAUCCUGAGUACCACGGUAUAAAUCUUCCGUGGGAAGCUGGGGGAUCCAUCCUCCAAGGCUAAAUACAACGUGUAACCGAUAGUGAACUAGUACCGUGAGGGAAAGUCGAAAAGAAGGGCGGGACGCCCAGUGAAAUAGAACCUGAAACUGUUUGCGGACAAACCGAUAGAGCUUGUGCGUAGCACAAGAAUGUCAAAUAAUUACCAAUAAUCCAAUAAAUACCAAUUUCCAGUAAUAUGGCCAUUUGUUUUUUUAUUUUCCAUAUUUAAUUGGUACUUAUUUGUAUUUAUUUGGAAUUGGAAAUUUGUCAUUCUCGUGCUGUGCACGAGUGAUAUCGUGCCUAUUGAAGAAUGAGCCGGCGAGUUUCCGUUGUUUCUUUUUGCUUAAGUCCUUAAAUGGAUGUAGGCGCAGGGAAACCAAGUGUGAAUAGCGCGAAUUUAGAAACAAUGGAAGACCCGAAACCAGGUGAUCUACCCAUGAGCAGGGUGAACCCCGUAGAAAUACGGGAGAAGGCCCGAACCGAUGUUUGUUGCAAUAAGCUCGGAUGACUUGUGGGUAGCGGUAAAAUGCCAAUCGAACCUGGAGAUAGCUGGUUCUCCCCGAAAGGUCUAUAGGGACCGUGGUGUGCAAGGUGUUGCCGAUGGUAGAGCUACUGGAUGGGCUAGCGAGGGUAACUGAGUUAGUUCAACCAAACUCCGAAUAGCGGUGUACAUAAACAUACUAGACAGCCUCAUCGGGCUAAGCUGAUGAGGCGAGAGGGAAAAAACCCAGACUCUCAGUUAAGGCCUCUAAAUCGCAACUAAGUUUCAAAGGAAGUCGAAAACCUUAGACAGCCAGGAGGUUGGCUUAGAAGCAGCCAUCCUUUAAAGAAAGCGUAACAGCUCACUGGUUAAGGUAUUCGGCGCCGAAAAUGUAUCGAGGAUAAGUUGCGUGCCGAAACUGGAGAUGCUUGUGCUUUGCACAAGAAUAAUAAUUAAUAAACAAAUAAUCGAAUAAACAAAUGAAAUAUAUAAAUUAAAUCAUUUGAAUAUUUUUAUAUUUGAAUAUUGUAUUGUCAUUCUCGCGCAGAGCGCGAGUGUGGUAGGGGAGCGUUCCGAUGGCGGUGAAGUUUCGCUGUAAAGCGAGGUGGAGCUGUCGGAAGUGAGAAUGCCGGCAUGAGUAGCGUACUAUUGCUGUGAGAAUCAGCAACACCGAAUGCCCAAGGAUUCCGCCCAGACGUUCGUCGGGGGCGGGUAAGUCGGUACCUAACCUGAGGCCAUAUGGCGUAGGGGAUGGAUGACUGGUUAAAAUUCCAGUAUUUGUUUUUUGACGUUAUCAACUGGGGAGUGACUGGGUUGGAUGUCUGAAGCCCCUUCGUGAAGUGGGGUGUAAACUGUAAGAUAGUAGCAGCUGGAAAAUCCGCUGAAACGAUUAAUCGAGCAGUAAUACAGAGUCUUAAGCAAUUAAGGUAAUUUUGAAACAUUCAACCUACUAGAAAAGCUUCGCAGUGAGCCAGAAAGCAAGCCGUACCGAAAACCGACACAGGUGGGCUGGUAGAGAAUACUAAGGUGAUCGAGAGAAAGAGGUUCAAGGAACUCGGCAAACAAACUGGACGUAAGUUCGCAAGAUGUCCUACCCCGAUUUAAUCGGGGUUGCAACAAAUGAGUGCUAACCGACUGUUUAUCAAAAACACAGGUCCGUGCAAAGAGGAAACUCUAGGUAUACGGGCUGACGCCUGCCCAGUGCCGGUAAGUUAAGCGGAUGGGUGCCCCGACGCAAGUCGGGAUGCUCUGAAGUAAAGCUCCGGUAAACGGCAGCAGUAACUAUAACUGUUCUACGGUGGAAUACGCGCCGCCGUAGUAAAAUUUGACUAUAUGCUGGAAAGUCCUAUGAAUCGAGAACUACUAUGGUAUAAUUUUACUGUAGAUAAAUUAUGUCAAGUAACAAAGUUGCUCGUUGGGAUAAUCAGCAGGAAAGACUUGAAAUGAUUGGAUGGGUAGUAGGAUUUAUUGAUGGAGAGGGUUGUUUUUCAGUUUCUCUUCAUAAGAAUCCUACAACAAAACUUGGAUGGCAGAUUAUGCCAGAGUUUGUAGCGACUCAGGGUGAGAAGAGCAUUCUCGCUUUAAAGAGAUUACAAUCCUUUUUCGGUUGUGGACGAAUAUUUGUGAAUCGUAGACACGAUAAUCACAAAGAAAAUCUUUAUCGAUUUUGUGUUCGUUCCUUUACCGAUUUAAGGGAUAAGAUAGUACCCUUUUUUAAAAGAUUUAAACUCCAGACUGCAAAAGCAAAUGAUUUUGAAAUUUUUGCAGAAAUUAUUGAUUUCAUGAAUAAAAGGGAGCAUCUUACUGAAGAUGGGAUAAAAAAGAUAAUAUCUUAUGCUACGAAAAUGAAUACAAGGAGAAGAAAACAAUUAUUUCAAGAAUCCUCAGACACUAAUACGUCAGAGGCCGCCUAGCGGUCAAGAUAGAGUGCGAUCUGUAUGGUAACAUGCAGGAGAAUAAUCAGGUGACUGAUUAUUGUAAUAACGAUUUAAGCGAAGUUCCUUGUCGGGUAAGUUCCGACCCGCACGAAUGGCGUCACGAGUUAGCAACUGUCUCGAACCUUUACUCGGCGAAAUUGCGUUGGCUGUGAAGACGCGGCCUACUUCCACCAGGACAAAAAGACCCCGUGGAGCUUUACUGUAGCUUGGCACUGAAUUGUGCGUUUUAAUUGUUUAGCGUAGGAGGGAGCUUUGGCAAUCCUGAAACACCUCCCUUUGGAACGUUGCAAAUCUUACUUGAGUCGCCUGCAGACGGCGACAAGGAACAUGCUAGGUGGACAGUUUUACUGGGGCGGUACCUUGCCAAAGGGUAACGCAAGGACACAAAGGUUGGCUUAGUACGGAUGGACAUCGUACCUCAAUGUGUAAAGGCAUAAGCCAGCUUGACUGCGACACUGACGGGUGGAGCAGGUGCGAAAGCAGGUCUUAGUGAUCCUCCGAUGCCGUAUGGUAUGGCACGGAGCUUAAUGGAUAAAAGCUACCCCGGGGAUAACAGAGUAGUCGCGCCCGAGAGUCCAAAUCGACGGCGCGGAUCGCUACCUCGAUGUCGGCUCACCGCAUCCUGGGGCUGGAGAAGGUCCCAAGGGUUGGUCUGUUCGCCCAUUAAAGCGGUACGUGAGCUGGGUUCAGAACGUCG
rnacentral:rRNA from 1 species